AUUGAACGCUGGCGGAAUGCUUUACACAUGCAAGUCGAGCGGCAGCACGGGGGCAACCCUGGUGGCGAGCGGCGAACGGGUGAGUAAUACAUCGGAACAUGCCCAGUCGUGGGGGAUAACACUUCGAAAGAAGUGCUAAUACCGCAUACGUCCUGAGGGAGAAAGCGGGGGAUCGCAAGACCUCGCGCGAUUGGAGUGGCCGAUGUCAGAUUAGCUAGUUGGUGGGGUAAAGGCCUACCAAGGCAACGAUCUGUAGCUGGUCUGAGAGGAUGAUCAGCCACACUGGGACUGAGACACGGCCCAGACUCCUACGGGAGGCAGCAGUGGGGAAUUUUGGACAAUGGGGGCAACCCUGAUCCAGCCAUUCCGCGUGAGUGAAGAAGGCCUGGUGUAAGCUCUUUCUAGCAGGAACGAAACGGACGAGUAC
rnacentral:rRNA from 1 species